rnacentral:tRNA from 6 species
GGAGAGAUGGCUGAGUGGUUUAAAGCACCGGUCUUGAAAACCGGCGAGGGUUUAUAGCCCUCCUAGGGUUCAAAUCCCUAUUUCUCCGCCA